rnacentral:rRNA from 1 species
CCUAGCCCUUCAGGGGGGGACAACAGUUGGAAACGACUGCUAAUACCGCAUACGAUCUAACCUCGGCAUCGAGGAAAGAUGAAAGGUGGCCUCUACAUGUAAGCUAUCACUGAAGGAGGGGAUUGCGUCUGAUUAGCUAGUUGGAGGGGUAACGGCCCACCAAGGCGAUGAUCAGUAGCCGGUCUGAGAGGAUGAACGGCCACAUUGGGACUGAGACACGGCCCAG